UGAAAUGCAACUUAAACAUGUAUUAAUCAUACAUAUGACAUAGUGAACAUAAUUUUGCAUUUUUCCAAUUCUCUUAAACUUAUUCUUUAUAUAUAUACAUAUUCUUACCCCGGGCUCAUAAUACUUCAUGUCAUUCACAUGUGUUUGAUGUACAUACCUAUGCCUACUUGCACAUCUUAACUUACUUUCUCAUCUUUGACGUAUUCAUCAAGGUUACUCGUUGAACUUCCUUUAGAAUUACCCUUUGAACGCUCAGAAUACUAUCAGAUACAUCGGAAGCUUGCACCUAAGUGCAU
rnacentral:lncRNA from 1 species